CUACAGAUGUGAGGGAUGCAGCCUUUUCAGCUUUGGCAGCGAUAGCUAAGUUGGUUGGUAUGAGACCCUUGGAGCGGUCACUUGAGAAACUUGAUGAUGUUAGAAGAAAGAAGCUUUCUGAAAUGAUUUCAGGUUCUGAAGGUGGCACAUCCACCAAUACAAGCUCAGCAGUCCAAGCUUAUGGUGCAACCGCAUCCUCUCAUGAGCAUCAGAUGCUUCAUUUGUUAAAAAGUCAGCAGCAAGCAUGCUUAGUGGGAAGAGGCCUGUUGAAGCAGCU